rnacentral:misc_RNA from 1 species
GUUGAAGAACGUAGUGAAAUGCGAUAAGUAAUGUGAAUUGCAGAAUUCAGUGAAUCAUCGAAUCUUUGAACGCACAUUGCGCCCGCCAGUAUUCUGGCGGGCAUGCCUGUUCGAGCGUCAUUUCAACCAUCAAGCCCCCGGCUUGUGUUGGGGACCUGCGGCUGCCGCAGGCCCUGAAAAGCAGUGGCGGGCUCGCUGUCACACCGAGCGUAGUAGCAUACAUCUCGCUCUGGGCGUGCUGCGGGUUCCGGCCGUUAAACCACCUUCAUAACCCAAGGUUGACCUCGGAUCAGGUAGGAAGACCCGCUGAACUUAAGCAUAUCAAUAAGCGGAGGA